ACUUAUAGAUUAUCUAUGAAUUACUUUCACAGUUAUGAUGAUGGGAAUCCAAAUGCUGUCUUUGACACAACAGAUCAGUUUUCCAACAAAGACACUCAUUCCUUCCACCUGAAACAACCGUGGAGAAAACAGAGUUGAGGUAUAAUAGAGCUUCAAAAUCAACUUUAUUAAAUUGAAUUUCUCUGGAAUUGAGGAGACAUCUCACUUUUUCUAUAGCCCUCAGGGCCAAAAAUAACCAACCUCAGCAAAGGAUCUCAGCAAGUCACAACAAUCUGUUUCCAUCUUGCCUCUGAUUAGAGCACUGAACUUUAUGCUAUUCAUUUCUAUUCAAAGAGGCGGGCUUUGAGAAGAAAGGAUCCUCAAGCUGGUACUUCUGGUACAGUUACCACCUGAGAUUUUACUUCUGAUUCUGCAGAUCUUCUGACGAAAUACUUAUCCACAGACAGAUGCUUCAGGAUAAAUAAAGCCUCUAUCUAUCACUUCAAAGAUUGUAUGGAAAGCUAUUUUGAAGAAAGUGACCAUCAUGGUAAUUCAGUAUUGCUUCUUAGUUUAAUGUCAAUAAAAUGCUUUAAUUUAAAAUGAUUUGGAAGAGGAACACACAUUUCAGAAGUCUAAACUCUUUGUCCAUCAGAAGAUGGGAUUUAAGAAACAGGAUCUGAAGUGGGCAGGGAAAGUAUUCCAGAAAGCAACUUUCUAAUAAAUUAGAACAUAAUGACUUGCAUGCUUGUAUAAAUUUUUGUUACAGGCAAUCUUCACAUAGCUGAAGCUACAUGCCUAAAAUAAUACUUUUUCUGAAAUCCAUGCUUUCUUGAAAGAAUUUCCAAAAUAAUAUAGCAGAAAAAGCAUGAAAUUAAAAGUUGCUUCCAAGCAAGACCACAGAGUUGGCAUCUGUUUCAGAGUCUGUUAGCAUCACAAUUGUGAAGCUACACAUAUACAAUAGUUAAUUACUGAUGGAAAUACCCAAUCAAUCAGCCAGCUGUUUUGAUUGCACUGAUUUGGGUCUCAUUUAAUUUAAGAGACUUAUGUCAACAGAUUGAAAGGUGAUUUUUGUGAGUGCCGAUGAUGUGUGUGUGUGUGUGUUUAACUGGGCAGGUAACUUAAGAGUGUCAUCACAGUCUGCGACUAAAUAAUUUGUUUCAAAAGUGAAAAAUUCAGACAUAUUUCUUCAGUUGUGUGUUUAAAAAUAACAACUCUGAUUGACUCAUGAUUCUCCUAGUAUUAUUAAAUAGUUGACCUAAUUAUUAUUUAGUUAUAUUGUCUAACACAGUUCAGGUGACUGGCCUGGGAGUUACAGUGCCUGUAUCUGCUAUCCCAGAUGAUACAGGAGUCACUGUCAUUACAAGACAGUUCCACAACCUCCUUGUUUGAAAAAAAAAAAGGAAGAAAGGACGGAGGGAGGGGGGGAAGGAGAAAUGAAGAAAGGAAGGAAAGAAGGAAGGACGGGAGGUUGGUUGCCUAGUCUGUGCUCUCAGUCCUCUCUCUCUUCUUAUCCAGAUUGUUUAGUGGGGUAGACUAGGUCCAUGAUGGUUUAUUAAUGCAAUUACCAUUGUUUUACCUUUGAAUGGAUUGUUAUGCAUCUUGCACAUCUAUGCAAAAGUCAUGUGAAUUAACCAGUUAAAAAAAAAAAAAAGGUUGGAAUGACAUAUCUUCCUUGACAGUAAUCAUGUAAAAUUGUAUCUUCAAAUAUAUUUUUCCUUUUGGUCCGCUUUUGAUACUUAAAUAUCUUUACCUCUGCUUGCCUUAAUAAAUAUAUAUGAGGGCAGAUUAUAAAUUUAAAAAAACUAGAGCAAACUAUUCACCUGGCCUGGAACCACCCCUAUGAUUGCUCUCCUGUUUAAAAUGUGAUUAGCCACCAGUGUCCUUUAGUCCAAAGGCCUCUUAAAUUGCCUAGAAUAAAAUCAGGUAAAUAUUUCCCUGGCUUAAUGCAAAAAUGAAGACUACCGGUUUGUUGCCUUCAAAAUAUUUCCUUUUCAUUCUUGAAAAUAUGAUCCAUGGGAGUUAUAUAAAUAUGGACAUUUAUUUAGGAUUGAUUUGAACCUACCUGCAUUUUGGGAUACAUUACUCUGUAACUUGGAAUAACCUGUUACCCACAAACAAGUUACCUCAAAUCACUGGCUUAUAAAAGCAAAUGCUUAUUAUCUUACAUUUUCUGUGGAUCAAGAGUUCAAGAGAAGCUUAGUUCAGAAAUUGUUGCUCAUGUUCUCUCACAGACUUGUAUUAAGCAGGUGACCACAGGUGCAAUCUUUUCAUGGCCUGACUGGGGAAGGACCUGUUUCCCAUGUCCAAUGAAUUCUGAUAAGCUUUAGUUCCUUUCCAUGUACACCUCUCCAUAAACUCCCAGAGUUUCCCCACAAUACGGCAGCAAGUUUCCUCUAGAGUAAGUAACCCAAGAGAGAAAGGGAUAGGGAGAGAGAGAAAGAGAAAGAGAGAUGGAGAGAGAAGGGAUUCAAAAUGCGAAACAUCAGUUUAGAAUCUAAUUCAGAAGUGACAUCACAUAGCUUCUGCUAUAUUUUAUUCCCCAGAAAUGAGCCAUUGAAAUCAGCCUACAAUCAAGUAAAGGGGAAUUAAUUUCCACCUCUUGAGGGGAGGAGUAUUUAAGAGUUUAUGGAUAUAGUUUAAAAAAUACAACAGUAUAUUUAUCUAAAAAAAAUCAUCUAUAUAUCAGAGUUCCCAUC